CCUACGGGUGGCAGCAGUGAGGAAUAUUGGUCAAUGGGCGCGAGCCUGAACCAGCCAAGUAGCGUGAAGGAUGACUGCCCUACGGGUUGUAAACUUCUUUUAUAAAGGAAUAAAGUGAGGCACGUGUGACUUUUUGUAUGUACUUUAUGAAUAAGGAUCGGCUAACUCCGUGCCAGCAGCCGCGGUAAUACGGAGGAUCCGAGCGUUAUCCGGAUUUAUUGGGUUUAAAGGGAGCGUAGAUGGGUUGGUAAGUCAGUUGUGAAAGUUUGCGGCUCAACCGUAAAAUUGCAAUUGAUACUGGCAGCCUUGAGUACAGUUGAGGUAGGCGGAAUUCGUGGUGUAGCGGUGAAAUGCAUAGAUAUCACGCAGAACUCCGGUUGCGAAGGCAGCUUACUAAGCCAUAACUGACACUGAAGCACGAAAGUGUGGGUAUCAAACAGGAUUAGAUACCCUGGUAGUC
rnacentral:rRNA from 1 species